UACGUAGGGGGCAAGCGUUGUCCGGAAUCAUUGGGCGUAAAGAGCGCGCAGGCGGUCGUUCAAGUCGCGUGUGAAAGCCCCCGGCUCAACUGGGGAGGGUCACGCGAUACUGAUCGACUGGAAGGCAGGAGAGGGAAGCGGAAUUCCCGGUGUAGUGGUGAAAUGCGUAGAUAUCGGGAGGAACACCAGUGGCGAAGGCGGCUUCCUGGCCUGUUCUUGACGCUGAGGCGCGAAAGCUAGGGGAGCAAACGGG
rnacentral:rRNA from 1 species